rnacentral:lncRNA from 1 species
GUGCGAAAAAAAAUACAAAUCCCCUGCGCUAUCUUCAUUACUUGUUCUAUUGCAUAAACUUGCUCUUGACUCGAAACAAAUCGUAAUCAUAUUCAUAUUCAUUCUUAUGUUAGAAAUUAGCGUGUAACAAAAAACAUUAUCUUGGUUCAUUUUACGGAUUAAUCCCGAGUGGAGUAACCCCGGAAGUUAAUCCCUUACUUGACUGAUGAAAACCUAGCUAAGGUACAUCGGACUCCAUGUGAGGGAUUUUCCCCCUUUAAUAGGAUUUGAUUAAAUGACAUCUACGGUUAAAAUCAGGAAAAAGAUGAAAAGUGAAAAUCCAACGGUUGGAUGCAUCCUUGGAAGUAUGUGAGUACUCAAGGCGUGCGGGCAUCACUAUCGAGAUGCGUGUAAGACACGAAGAGGACAUGUGGAAAAGAAAAAUUGCAGAGACGUCUCAUCGAGUUCCCUCAAGUCACGUCGUAGAUGCCGCAAUUUAAGUAUCGCCUAGAAGCGUUGCACGGGUUCACCAUGCAUAACUCAAGAUGACAGAAAUCCCAUGAGGGCGACCACAUCGUGCAUGGAACGAAAUAACAAAAUAACCACGAGGUCAUGAGCUUAUUAUACUAGAGAUGCAGCUAUGAGAGCGAACCCUGAAAAAAUUCCAUCACAUCAUAAAGAUAGUAAUGACUUAGGAGGCAACUAUUCCAGACUGGCAUAAAGCCCAACAAGAGCGACCCAACAAGCUAAGGCCCACAAAGCCUUAGGUCAAGUGUAUAGAAGGUGCACACGAAGCUCUAUUCGACUUGCCGCACAGUGGCACACCCAAAGUUAAUCGCUACCAUUGGAGCCAUCUUUAACGACUUCCACAUAUCACACCGUAAAUCAUAGAGGCGGUUGUCAACGCCCUCAACUUUAUAAGCAUGACUCAGCAUCAGGCUCACGAUACGAUUCAUUUGUUACCACUUCUUGCAAUAAUCCACCUCUUUUGGACACCAACUUGAGCGUUUAAGUGCAGUGUCCAUGCAGACAUCAUUCUCCUCUGUCGUAUAAGCUUCAUCUCCUCAACGCCGGAAUGUCGCGCGUUCAAUAGAGAGAUAGUUCGAUUAUGUUUCCAUCAUAUAUAUAUAUAUUUCAAUAAACUAUAUUCCCA